GGAUAGAAACAAAAUGUGCAGUCCAAAAUGUACAGCAGAAAGAGUAGGUAGAGAGGGAUGGUAAAAUGCACACAAAUGAAGAUCGCACAAAUUAUUUGAGGCUGUAUUUGAAAGAAAACUAUAAUAUAUAUGAAUAAGAAUAAAAAAGAAAGGUAGGUUGGUCAUGGGCAGGAACCUGUCAAAUCAAGCAGAGUCUCUUCCACAAGUUCUUCCAGCAAUUUCCCUUCUAUUUCCUUCUCUAAAUCAUCUAUUUCCUCUUGUAAUUUCUGAG
rnacentral:misc_RNA from 1 species